GCACGGGUGAGUAACACGUGAAUAAUCUACCUCCGAGUGGGGAAUAACUGAGAGAAAUCUUAGCUAAUACCGCAUAACACUUACGAGUCAAAGCAGCAAUGCGCUUGGAGAGGAGUUCGCGGCAGAUUAGUUAGUUGGCGGGGUAAUGGCCCACCAAGACGAUGAUCUGUAUCCGGCCUGAGAGGGCGCACGGACACACUGGAACUGAAACACGGUCCAGACUCCUACGGGAGGCAGCAGUGGGGAAUUUUGCGCAAUGGGGGAAACCCUGACGCAGCAACGCCGCGUGGAGGAUGAAAUCCCUUGGAAUGUAAACUCCUUUCGAUAGGGAAGAUAAUGACGGUACCUAUAGAAGAAGCCCCGGCUAACUUCGUGCCAGCAGCCGCGGUAAUACGAGGGGGGCAAGCGUUGUUCGGAAUUAUUGGGCGUAAAGGGUGCGUAGGCGGUUUGACAAGUCUUAUGUGAAAUCUUCGGGCUCAACCCGAAGUCUGCAUAGGAAACUGUCGGGCUUGAGUAUGGGAGAGGUGAGUGGAAUUUCCGGUGUAGCGGUGAAAUGCGUAGAUAUCGGAAGGAACACCUGUG
rnacentral:rRNA from 1 species